CCUUUGACGUUAGCGGCGGACGGGUGAGUAACACGUGGGUAACCUACCUAUAAGACUGGGAUAACUUAGGGAAACCGGAGCUAAUACCGGAUAAUAUUUCGAACCGCAUGGUUCGAUAGUGAAAGAUGGUUUUGCUAUCACUUAUAGAUGGACCCGCGCCGUAUUAGCUAGUUGGUAAGGUAACGGCUUACCAAGGCGACGAUACGUAGCCGACCUGAGAGGGUGAUCGGCCACACUGGAACUGAGACACGGUCCAGACUCCUACGGGAGGCGGCAGCU
rnacentral:rRNA from 1 species